UCUGGGACUGGGGAGAUGAGCACUGCUUGGGAUGGUGGGGCACUGUAAGCAAUUGCAGCAGUGACUGCCAGAUCAGGACCUUUUUGUUUUGGAUUCAGCUGGUGGCUGUGCCUGCCCAUGGGAGCAUUUUGAAAUGAACCUCCCAAACGCCCAGCCCUGACACACAUGCACUUUGGUUUGCAUCCCAGUGUGUUUUCAAACAGUGCACAUGUUUCUCUCACAUCCCACCAAACCAGAUGUACUGUGCAGCAGGGUUGGAUCAAAGCUAGUUGAGCAAAUGUCCAAAAUGUCAAUGUAGAUGUGAUUUCUGGACAUUGCAUGUUUCCCUCUGCAGUUCCUCUCCUCUGUAGCUGUUGUUAGACAAAAGAGGGCCCUGCUUCAUAGUCAGAGCAUUGUGAAAUUGCUUCACUAAUUAAAGAUGGGCAUGUGUGAGAGUAUCCUAAAAGGAGGAGCUAAACUGAACAUAGAAGUGAUUUUUUGAUGUUCUCCCAUUUCCACUGGAAGGUUUGUCUCAGCACUGUAUCUUACUAUCUCUGGACAAGUUACACUUUGUUAAAAUGUUUGUCAGCCAUGUGUUCAAGGCCGAGUUUCUUUCUGAAUCUUCUUCAACGCACGGAAAGAUGUGGCUGUGCACGAGUGGGAAGCCCAGGCAGUCACUUGUCUGUGCACAUGCACAAAGAUUUGCAGCUCUCUGUCAUGUUUUCUCUUUUUCUUGAUUGCUUCAAUUCACCUAAGUGCUUAAUUUUCUGCACCUUGUCUGCUGCUUUAAUCUCUUUGAUCUCCUUGAGUUUCCUUGCCAGGACUGUGCCAUGGAAUCCAUAUUGUCUGUUCAGUCACCUGCUUUCUAGAGUAAGAAACCAUUGACAUUAGAGGGUGAAAUCCAGUGGGGGAUUUCUACAGAGUAUGGUCAAAAACUGGGCCACAAAGCCCAUGUUGUGUGAGGGAGCAUGGCUGACCAAGAAGGAAGAGGAAGAAGCAUCUGCAGCUGAAUUUUGUCUCUUCUGGCUAGAACUCUUGUGAAAAUGAAGCGAGUCUGAGACCAAGACUUUCAUCUGCCUGAGAGAGGUACCACAGUUCUUAUUCUCUAGGGAUGUUUUUCCACCAGUGUGAUCUAAAAUCUUCAUGGGACUAUACUCUGCUGAAGAUGGGCCACUGUGCAAAAAAACAAAUGUAUGAUAUCUGAAUCCAGAAGGAUCCUGUUUUUUUAGCCUAUUUAAUGGGGCUGUGGCUGAACAGUACUGGAUUCUUUUAUUUAUUUCCACUGUCUGUGGCUGUAUUUCAUGUAAUGAC